GAUGAACGCUGGCGGCGUGCCUAAUACAUGCAAGUCGAGCGAACGGACGAGGAGCUUGCUUUUCUGACGUUAGCGGCGGACGGGUGAGUAACACGUGGAUAACCUACCUAUAAGACUGGGAUAACUUCGGGAAACCGGAGCUAAUACCGGAUAAUAUAUUGAACCGCAUGGUUCAAUAGUGAAAGACGGUCUUGCUGUCACUUAUAGAUGGAUCCGCGCUGCAUUAGCUAGUUGGUAAGGUAACGGCUUACCAAGGCGACGAUGCGUAGCCGACCUGAGAGGGUGAUCGGCCACACUGGAACUGAGACACGGUCCAGACUCCUACGGGAGGCAGCAGUAGGGAAUCUUCCGCAAUGGGCGAAAGCCUGACGGAGCAACGCCGCGUGAGUGAUGAAGGUCUUCGGAUCGUAAAACUCUGUUAUUAGGGAAGAACAUAUGUGUAAGUAACUGUGCACGUCUUGACGGUACCUAAUCAGAAAGCCACGGCUAACUACGUG
rnacentral:rRNA from 1 species